UAGGGAAUCUUCCACAGUGGGCGAGAGCCUGAUGGAGCAACGCCGCGUGUGUGAUGAAGGGUUUCGGCUCGUAAAACACUGUUGUAAGAGAAGAAUGACAUUGAGAGUAACUGUUCAAUGUGUGACGGUAUCUUACCAGAAAGGAACGGCUAAAUACGUGCUAG
rnacentral:rRNA from 1 species